CGAACGAACUCUUCGGAGUUAGUGGCGGACGGGUGAGUAACACGUGGGAACGUGCCUUUAGGUUCGGAAUAACUCAGGGAAACUUGUGCUAAUACCGAAUGUGCCCUUCGGGGGAAAGAUUUAUCGCCUUUAGAGCGGCCCGCGUCUGAUUAGCUAGUUGGUGAGGUAAAGGCUCACCAAGGCGACGAUCAGUAGCUGGUCUGAGAGGAUGAUCAGCCACAUUGGGACUGAGACACGGCCCAAACUCCUACGGGAGGCAGCAGUGGGGAAUCUUGCGCAAUGGGCGAAAGCCUGACGCAGCCAUGCCGCGUGAAUGAUGAAGGUCUUAGGAUUGUAAAAUUCUUUCACCGGGGACGAUAAUGACGGUACCCGGAGAAGAAGCCCCGG
rnacentral:rRNA from 1 species